rnacentral:rRNA from 1 species
GACGCCCGCGUGGUGGAUCCGCUUUUCGGAGUGUAAACACCUUUUAUGAGGGAAGAAAAUCUGACGGUACCUCAUGAAUAAGGACCGGCUAAUUACGUGCCAGCAGCCGCGGUAAUACGUAAGGUCCAAGCGUUAACCGGAAUUAUUGGGCGUAAAGCGUCCGCAGGCGGUUUAUCAAGUUGAUUAUGAAAUACCGACGCUCAACGUCGGUGCUGUAGUCAAAACUGGUAAACUAGAGAUAUGGAGAGGUGCGUGGAAUUGUGCAAGUAGGGGUAAAAUCCGUAGAUAUGCACAGGAACACCAAAAGCGAAGGCAGCGCACUGGCCAUUAUCUGACGCUCAGGGACGAAAGCGUGGGGAGCGAAAGGGAUUAGAUACCCCUGUAGUCA